CAGGACCAAAUUGAGGUAUGCUCCACACAGACACAGCGUCUUAAAAAAUUAUCAUUUUCCACUGCAUAAUAACAUGUUCUGUUAUUUUUUAGACAAGUACAAACUGACUAAGUAAUAAUACAGAUAAAAAGCCAUACAUUCUCAUUUUUCUUCUCUGUAUUUUUUCUUGUUCAUACCUGCAGAAAAAUUGUGGUGGUGAUGAUUGAUCUGUAUUUUUUUGAAGGGGGUCAUUGGACUCCACUGUAGCAUAGGUGAUAAUUCCUCACCCUAUAUUUGCGUGUAGUAGCCUCAAACAUCAACUUUCUUAUGAUUUUUCUCUAGUAUGUUGCUCGCUGGUUUUGACUAUUGAUUUUGGUAGACGGUGCCCAGUUUAGGACAUGAUCCAACUCUCAGUUACAUACAUGGACCUUCUCUUUCUACAUCUCUAUGGUAGUAAACUUUCUUACUUUAGAGACGGAUCAGAAGGCGUUUCUUUUGCUUUUGGGGUUGAGGAUGCACCAAACUAUGGGUACUAGACAAUAAUGCACUUUUAGAUGGUACACUGGUGCUGAUGAAUCAAUUUUUUUGUUACUGCUUUAUGCUUCUGACAGUGUGCGCUAGCUUAUCUAUUACUCCCUCCGUUUGUUUUUAUAAGACGUUCAGACAACUUGCUUUGCGCUGUUUUUGAACAGUGUCUGAAAGUCUAAAACGUCUUAUAAAAACAAACAGAGGUAGUAUAUCAGAUAAUACUAUCUCACACAUGUAGUGCAUAUUGGUUAUUUUCACUUGAUUUGGAUAAGUAAAGUGCGGCUAUAUUUUUCUUAACUAUUCCUAUUCUUUGACAAUCUUCUGCUUCGGUUUCUGUUUCUUGUUUCAGGUUCUUCAUAUCGAGUGCCUAUUAAUUAGUCACAUGUCCAUAGAUACUUUAUUAUGCCCUUUAAUGAUCUCAUCCCUGCGACUCACAUAUGAGUUAUACAUAUGCAUGGUUGUGAGAAUUAGAGGGACAGUUAGUGUUCCCUUGAAGAAAAGUGCAAGCAUGAUCUACUUUAAAUUGGAACACUUAUGUUAGAAAACAUGGUCAAUGGACUGUACAACAAAAUCAUUUUUUCAGUAAAUUGUGACAGAUCCAAAAUAACCAACCGAAAACAACAAAAUUAUUUUUUCAGUAAUUUGUAAUGCCUCAUAGACAUGUUUUCACUUAGAUUAGAACGAUCCUAUGUAAGAUAGGUUGUAAAGUAGCAGUUGUAUAUACAUAGCUACAGUGUGUUUCCUGAACAUCACAACUUCAUCUUAUGAUGUGCUCACUGUAAUCAUAUUUUUUUUGUUUCAUGUAAAGUAGUAGUAGGUUCUUUUGAUGCCAAUGAUUCAUUAUCUGAUCCCAUGAGGCACUAAUAUCAUGCUAGCUCUGUAUUGUGUUGGUGAUAUUCUCACUGUAAUUCACUCUCAACAUGCCGGUAGUUUCGAGUUUUCUUUCUUUUAUUCUCACAUGUAAUUUCUUUGUUCCAUCUUUGCUAUGAGCCAGUGCCGAUGUUCUGUUUUCCUGCGGUUGUCGCCACUGUACUUUGUUCCUUGCAUGAACAAAAGAGGAUUAAUGAAACAACAUUCGCGCUGAAGAAGAAAAAGGAUAUGUUGCCCAUCAAUUCUAUCAUACUCAAGAAUCGCCAUUCAUUUUGUGAGGUUAAAAGGAUUGUCCGCUUCCUUCCUUGCAUGUAACCACAUCAAUGGAUUGGUGUUGAACAUAACAAGGUAUAAGGCCAUCCAUACUCAUUUUUCUUAUCUGCAUUUUUAAUUGUUCAUAUCUGGAAAAAAAUUGUGCUGGUCAUGAUUGAUUUGAGUAUCAUGAUUUUGUAAAUUAGAUUCAAAUGUUAGAACCAACGCUGAUUUUGUAAUCAAUUGGUUGUGUUGUAGUGAGCUGAGGGUAUUAUACAUCUCAUGUUGCACUCUCAAAAUUUGAUUAGUAAUUUUGUCAAAUAAUAAAUAGAAGCAUUGUUAUCAUAAGUGUUGAUUGGUCAUGCAAUCACUGCAGACCUUAAAAAGAAGGGCUUGUGAAAUAUUGCUCGAGCUACAUCGACAUAUGCUAGCUAAAUAUAAGAAUGCAGAACAUAUCGAACCUCAUCUGUCCUUACUCAUAUUAUAAGUAAAAUAUGAACGUUUCGUGUCUCCAGUCGGUUCGCUAUCAAAGGAAGAUGCAUGCACACUUCGUGUCUCCAACCGGUUUAGAUCAUAGGAAACUAUGGCACAAUGUACAGCAGAAUUUUCUUGUUAUAGCUCACUGAAAAUUUUUGUUCUUGCCUACGGUAAUGCAUUUUUGGUUAAGCUAGGAAUUGUUUCAUUAUUGAAAGCUUUCAUCUGCAUAUAUGGUCGUAAGGGGCUGUGUAUUUAUUUUGCUUCAUUCAUUAUUUUGGUCUAUUUAUUUUGCACAGAAAACCAUCUUUGGUAUGCUUUGAUGGGGCUUAUUUAAUAUAGUUCAAGGAAAAUUGGAAGUAGUGGCAAACCAGCCAUGAAAAGUUUGAGAGGGCUAUGCAACCACAAGAAAUGAUGUGCUCCUGUCAUUUUGCCAUGAUCUUGUGGCCCCAUUCCA
rnacentral:lncRNA from 1 species